GGGCGAGUGGUUUAGGGGUAUAAUGCCUUCUUAGCAUAUCACAAACGUCUUGAACGUUAGGAAUCGCUUGGAGGAGGUCCCGGGUUCGAUUCCCGGCUUGUCCA